GGGCGGGCAAGAAAAGUGGAAGCCUGAUUCUCAACUUUCCAAAUACUCCAGCAAUGAGAUGCCUUUGAGCUAGAAGAUCUCGAAAUGGGCAUCUCAACUAUUAACAAGAUCCAUCCUUGGGCAGCACAAUGAAGAUACUCUAGGUGCUUCAUCCGUUCUGGUGACAACACAUCCUAGAGAAGCAUAUCCAGGAGGAGCAAUUGGAUACCAGAAAAAGACUUCAU
rnacentral:misc_RNA from 1 species